rnacentral:rRNA from 1 species
CAACGACAUGUUAUCAUACUCUAUUUCUUGUGAGCAGUACGUCAGUUUAGAUUGACGUAUACUCUUUGGUGCCGUGCCUAUCAGGUUUGGACAUGUUCUUAUUUGCACUAAAUCACAAAACUAAACUGUAUAAAUAAAAUAGUCCCCCCCCUCCUUUCCAACAACUUAUUUUAUUUUUAGAGUGAGCAAUGACGUGUUAUCAUACUCUGUUUCUUGUGAGCAGUACGUCAGUUUAGAUUGACGUAUACUCUUUGGUAUAUAGCAUUUUUGCCUACCUCUUGCCUAUUUCACAUAGAAUAGAUGAUUUGCUUUGGCGAGGGAUUAGAUAAGGCCUAUGAGUCCUAGGUAAGCGUGAUGAGCAUGUCCUGCACUUCUAUUUACUAUUAAGCACCAACUGAAUUUCUGAUAAUGGCGUUUCAAGAAUGACACAAUCAACCCAACUGUUACCUUUGGGGUGCUUUUUGGAUGGACUAAUCUGAAGAUGUUGGCUAGCUUGCACCGCCAUCAUAUAAUCUAGAAGCAAGGGCAAGGAUUAUAGGGAAAAUAAAGGUACAAUGCUCCCAGUAUAUUUUACUUUUCGGCAAAGUUUUGGUGCUUGCGCAAGAAAGUAACACCAUCAUUAUAGGCUCAUUUUAUUUUAUCUUAGUUCAUGCACUAAUGCAUAAAUCUUUUGGUAUUGCCCUUAUUAUUUAGUCUAGAGCUAUGCAAUGAAAACCAUGGCUUUAGUGUUCAGGUGAGUUCCAUUUAUAGAGUGAAGAACCCUUGGCAUCUUAUCUAAAUUCUUUGAUCCUAGAUAUUAUGUAUACCCAGUUAAGUACCUUAUACCAGUACCUUAAUUAGCCUCUUCUGACUAUUGAUUGUUUGAACUGUUGUAGUAGGACUAAGACUUUCAAUGUUAUUAGGCUUGUGGACAUGUUUUUAUUUUAGAUUGUACAGUAUUGGGUUCUUUUGGCUUCUGGUUGCUGCUGCACAAGAAGUACACUAAACUCAUAUGAUGCAUGAAAAAAACUGCAGACCUAACAUAGUUUUUGUAUUCUGAUUUUUUUGUGAUGCCCUUAUGUUAAAAUGCUUAUUUGUUCUCCAAGUAGGCCAACGACGGCUGCUAGCAAUGAUACAUACAUAUCAACAAUUCCAAGGAAGUGCAUAUGUCAGUAUGCAUAGCGUAAUAUAUAUGUUCAUUGGAAAAUACUCUUCAGCAUCUGAAACAUCUAAAGGCGAUCACUCAACUACGUAUUAUAUACAAUAUACCCCGCUCGCAGUCCCAGCCACUAAUUAGUACUCCAAUGUUGCAUCACUCAUCUAAGUAUCAACACUACUCUUGAGACAUGCCUAUUAACAUAGUAGUGCUAGGUCCUCGUUGUUUGUUCUUACUCUCUGUUUUAUGAGUCUUUGGUUUCUCUUUAUUCACAUUUCGUUUUCUAUUUUCAUUAUCACUCUGUAUUAAUUUGGUAUCUUUGUUUAGUCUCCACCCUCUUUCUUCCAUACUCUCUCUGUUCGAAAAAGCUUGUCCCUCAAAUGAAUGUAUCUAGCAUCAAAUUAGUGCUAGAUACAUCCAUUUGAGAGACAAGCUUGGGACAAACUUUUUCGGACGGAGGGAGUACCUCUUUUUUCAUUUGUAUGUCUAUGGUAAGAAUGAAAGGCUAGAUAAACAAACAGGAAAAUGCUCACUUCAUUCAGGGGAUGCAUUCCGUCAUUGUCCAUCAACAAGUUCAACUCCGACGAUGGUUCACCGAUGUGGGCCGAUGCACCACAUCAGCAACGUCAAUGGCCUGAUAGGCCAUUUUCCAACUGGGCCUGUUGUAAAUGACGAAACCAUGAGGAUGUAAUCAGUAAUGUUGCUCCUGAUAUAGUUAUUUAGUGAAGUUAUAAGCUUCUCCUUUUGGAGUUUACUUCUACGAGUGAUCAGUCCCUGCAUCUUGUUCUAUUUUUCAGAAAACGAAGAUGUACUUUGCCAUGCCGCUACUCUCGGCAAAAUAGUAGAUCAUGGCGCCCCUUGUGCUACAGUGGAAUUGAAUCACAAAAAUUCUACAGAUUCAUCAAACACCGAAGGAGGUUAGUUUUUACCUGAGCAGCAACGGCGACCGCCGUGGGCUUGCUGGAGCCUCCCUUGCCGUGGAAAGUAACUAGCUUCAGGGAGUGCCAGGCUGCCACACAGCCAGAACAAAUGCCACCUUCGGCAGGGAGCGGCAACAACAACUAUGAGGAUUUGGCUCGCCGAUUUGAGUGACAGUGGCGCCAUCUGCUGAUUCCGCAGCUUCAAGCUAUAGCGGGAGCUGCUGGACCGCCAAGAUGCAGUUGGAGCUGCUGGACCACCGAGAUGCAGUUGGAGCUGCUGCGCCUCCGAGCUGCCGGACCACCGAGAUGCAGUUGGAGCCGCAGCGCCUCUGAGCUGCAGCCGGAGCCACUCCCCUGCCAAGCUGCAGCGUGAUCCGCCGCGCGCGAAGAUGGAGCCCAGCGUGAGCCGCCUCUAGCAGGUGCUUUCUCGAGUACAGUGGGGAGAGGAAGAGGAUGAACUGGUCGAUGGAAAAGGACAACAAUCCACCACAUGGUUAUCUCUGGCGUUAUAUGUCAUAUGUGCAACCCGUGUGUAUAGGUGUCCAGACUCCAGAGUGUGUGGCUCUUUGUGACAAUGGCACGGUUGUAAUAUUAUCUUUGAUGCUAACUUGUACUUUAUGUAAUUGGUAUAAUCUGUAUUGUUUUGUCAGAUUUAU